UUACUAAUCUGCUCCUAAAAAUAAGCUGUUGCUCGUUGUCUUUGUUAAGAGGCUCAACAUUUUUUAGUUGGUCAACACACCAGACCUAAAACCAAGGUCUGACAAAGCCUUUCGGUCUGCGGCACCAAGGCUGUGGAACAGGCUACCUCUACAGCUUCGUUUAGUUGUGGACUCUUUUCAAAAGAAGGUGGCAAUCCCUGGCCUCUAUUGCUCUUCUGCUGAGAACCUGUUCCUGCAGCCAUGAUGAGUGCUUCUGUGUUGUCUUUCAGUCCUGCCUUCUCUAGUCAUUGUCGACCACCUUGCUUGCUGCUCCUCCCCCUGCAUCCUUUUCCAGUCAUACUCCACACCUGCAGCCUGAGAUGGGAAUAGGAUAGCCAGGCAUCUGCAUCCCAAGAGAUGAAGCAGCACGGGAGCAUGAUAGCCGAGAUGGACCCCCUUAGAAAACAGGCAUCAUGUUCCACAAGUGCUGCUUAAGAGCAAAGGUUUAACUAUACCGUGAUGUCCCCUGGUUCCUCUUUAGUGGCCGCACAUGAUGAGGUCCUGCUGCAGAUGGUCUUCUCUGACUGUGGCUCAGAUGCCCAUCCGCUCUCCCAUGAACUGCUUUGUCCUUUCCUUACCUUUCUGAGGAUAUGAAUUUAGUUUAUCCCAUAAAAUUGAAUGACAUAUAAAACUUCACUUCAGUACACACACAAACAUGACCCUCCUGUUAAUUCCCAGAGUGUUUGUGUAUGACAGUGGGGGGAAAGUGGGUUUUGUCCAUCUGUCAUACUGGAAAUCCUUGGAGAGAUGCCAGACGAACAGUGUGAAUGCUACAAUAGUGUGCAGAUAUGACUGCUCUCUGUGAAAAGUAUUGCAGAAGUGUUUAUACACCUUAAACUUUUUGUUGUUGUCUACCAACCAUAAACCUCAAUGCGUUUUUGUAGGAAUUUAUGUGACAGACAAAGAAAACAAAAGAUGAAGGAAAAUAAUACAUGGUUUUCACAGUUCAGUCCUCUUUACUCUAAUACCCCUAAAUAAAAUGUAAGUGAACAUGGUGGUGGCACCAUCAUACGGGAGAUGCUAUUCUUCAACACAUUCAAUGAAGCUGGUAAGAGCUCUUCAGAACAAAGCAAUGUUCAACAGCAAACCAUACUAAGACAUGGCCAUCUACCUCAUGUAAGGGACACAUCGACAUGGGAAAGAAGGUGAUCUGUUUGAACUGUUGUAAAACGCUAUGUGUGGAGGAAAAUUAUAAUUGUAUAUGACCUUGAACACACUGUUCCCACUGUCACACAUAGUGAUGGCAGUAUCAUGCUGUGGGAAUAGUUUUCUCCAGUAGGGAAGCUGGUCAGAGAUGAUGGGAAGAUGGGUAAAUCUAAAUACAGUGUAAUCCUGGAAAAAGGCUGCUAAAGACAUGAGACUGCAGCAGAGACUGAACCUCCAAGAACGACUCCAAACCAGGGGUGUCCAACUCCACUCCACAGGGACUCGUGUCUUGUAUGUUUUAGAUCUGUCCCUGCUCCUGCAAUGCUAAUUCAAAUGCUUGAAUUGCCUCCUCAGUAUGUCAUCAAGUUAUAUAGAGGCUUGGUAAUGAGCCACCAUUUGAUUCAGGGAAAGCUCCAAAACAUGCAGGACAGCUGCUGACUUUGGACUUGGACACCACUGAUUUUGGACACCACUGCCCUAACCAUCCAGCCAAAGCUACAAUGAAAAGGUCCUUUAUCCAACUUGGAGCUUCAGUUGUUUGCAAAGAAGAAUUGGCAAAGAUUGUAGUCUCUAAAUGUGCAAAUGAGGUAUGGAAUAACCCUAAAGACCUGCAGCUUUAAUUUCAAAGUGGUUCGACAAAGUGUUGGCUCAGAGAGUCAAAUACAAAUGCAUAUCAAAAUAUUUUCAUUUGUAAAAAAAAAAACUUCACAUUUAUCAACUAUUCUUUCUUGGUUUAUCACAUGGAUACUAUUAAAAUGCAUUACACUUUGAGACUCUAACAUGAACAAAUGUGUGAAAAAAAGUUUAAAAGGGUAUGAAUACAUUUGUAAGACACUGUAAGCAGUUGAGGACAAGCUAUAUGAGUAGCAGUUUGAAACUUUUCUGCAACCCGAGAGCAGCAGCUUCAAAUGACAGUCUGAGGUCAUCUCAGCAGACCAAGAUCGUAUUUCUCUUUCUCUCUGCAUAUGUCUGUAUCCACUGGUGAGAGCACUGACAAUAUGGUCAUCAAAUUGUUUGGAAAGUGCACAAAACACGAGCAGAGAAUGAACGUUGCUCUGUAUUUCAUGGUCUCCCAUCAACUUUAGAAAUGGCCUGCAUCUAAGCCAAACUUGAACCUCCCUCCAGCCAAGCACCGACCCUGGGGAGACAGAGGUGAUGUUGACCAUGUGUCCCUCCACUAACCAUCUCAUUGAAGGCCCCCCGACUCCUGGGUUAACCUGACACCCUCCUCAGUGAUCACCCCUAAAAACCCCCUUAACCCUUUCCUAAACCCUGUGCAAGCCCCCCUGUUGUGCGUGCUCAUUGGAUGACCGCCUUCAGGCGUCCCUAUUCCAUGGCUCCAUUGUCUGGCCCCAUAAGCAGCUUUGUUUCUGCAUGUGCAGCUGGGAUAGCCCGCUCAGCCAUUAGCUACAACACGCUAAAGGGAGUGCUGGAUAAUAUAAUUACAAAACAAAAGUCAGGUGGUUCACGGGAUCUGCAGGGAGAAUACCCAUUGGGGGAGAUGCGAGGACACACUGGCGGGUGGCCAGCUAUAAUUUGAUUAUAAAGUUGUGUGAGCAACAAAGGACACAAUUGAAUCUUUUUUUUCCUUUUAUUUACUACUCCAGAAUUUAAUUUGAUUCCACUGGGGCUCAGAAAGGAGGGUGGUGUGAAAAGAGAAAAGAUUUACUCUUCUAAUUUUGAACCGCCAGCUUAGUAAAUGUAAUAUGCUCUGACAAAAUAUCGAAACUGACUUUAUUGUCCUGCUGCUGAGACACUUUGACUGCUUGUGAGGCCCAAGUUACUGAAUCAGUGUUGGCUGGACUUUUCUUCCAAAAUAUCUGCUCUUGCGCUCUUUUUACUUUUAUUUUGCAUGAAUGCACACAGACUGGCGGACAAUAGGAUCAGUGGCAGAUCCAUCUCCUGUAAUACUUUCUUUAAACAGGCCAGCAAGUGUGUCCUGUUCUGUCGGCAGACCAGAAUUUAUCCUGUUAGUCACCCUAGAUGAGUGAAAGAGCAAGAUCAACCCCCAGUCCAGCUGGUCAUGCACACACAGAGAUGCACCCAUUCACACAACCUACACACACACACACACACACACACACACACACACACACGCACACACACACACACACGGCUUUAUGGACAGCUGAUAAGAAAAGGUUUGUGCUGGUGCGACUGUUCAGAGCAGGUCAAGCAGAAUAAAAUCUGUUAAUGUC